AGUGAACGCUGGCGGUAGGCCUAACACAUGCAAGUCGAACGGCAGCACAGGAGAGCUUGCUCUCUGGGUGGCGAGUGGCGGACGGGUGAGGAAUACAUCGGAAUCUACUCUGUCGUGGGGGAUAACGUAGGGAAACUUACGCUAAUACCGCAUACGACCUACGGGUGAAAGCAGGGGACCUUCGGGCCUUGCGCGAUUGAAUGAGCCGAUGUCGGAUUGGCUAGUUGGCGGGGUAAAGGCCCACCAAGGCGACGAUCCGUAGCUGGUCUGAGAGGAUGAUCAGCCACACUGGAACUGAGACACGGUCCAGACUCCUACGGGAGGCAGCAGUGGGGAAUAUUGGACAAUGGGCGCAAGCCUGAUCCAGCCAUACCGCGUGGGUGAAGAAGGCCUUCGGGUUGUAAAGCCCUUUUGUUGGGAAAGAAAUCCAGCUGGCUAAUACCCGGUUGGGGUGACGGUACCCAAAGAAUAAGCACCGGCCAACUUCGUGCCAGCCGCCGCGGUAA
rnacentral:rRNA from 1 species